UACGUAGGUGGCAAGCGUUAUCCGGAAUUAUUGGGCGUAAAGAGCGCGCAGGUGGUUAAUUAAGUCUGAUGUGAAAGCCCACGGCUUAACCGUGGAGGGUCAUUGGAAACUGGUUGACUUGAGUGCAGAAGAGGGAAGUGGAAUUCCAUGUGUAGCGGUGAAAUGCGUAGAGAUAUGGAGGAACACCGGUGGCGAAGGCGGCUUACUGGACGGCGUCUGACGCUGAGGCUCGAAAGCGUGGGGAGCAAACAGG
rnacentral:rRNA from 1 species